rnacentral:tRNA from 1 species
GCCCUGAUGUCACAACGGUUAAGGGUUCUGCUUCUAACUGAAAGGUUGGCAGUUCAAAUCUGCCUACUGGCU